CAUAUAUAUAGUUUUACUCCAAUAGAAACCUCCUUAUCCUAGAAACUAAAAACCAAGCUGAAAUAUCACUAAAUCCUAAAGCAAAUACCACUAAAUUCUUAAACAACCCCAUCUCCACCUUCAUCUUCACCAAACCCACUUCCAUCUUCACCAACCCCACCUCCACUACCACCACCUCCGUCGUCGCCUCCUUCAUAACCACUACUACCUCUAUGCCGCCCGCCCCCUCCAUAACCACCACCUCCAUCUCCACCUCCACCUCCACCUCUAUUAUUUCCCUAACAACACAACCUCCACACCUCCAUCUUCACCAACCCCAUCUUAAUAGAUGCUUCAACCUCCUUCAACUUCGUUCAUACUUCUUUCUCCACCCCGACUCAACUUCAAACGCGAAGCCGCCACUAUUCCGGCAACACUCCAACCCCCCACUUCAAGCCGCCCAAACCUCCGCUAGAAUCAUCCUUCCUCCAUCUCCACCUUCACCUCCACCAUCUCCACCACUAUCACCACCAUCUGAAUCGAAAACAUGAACAGAUCUGGAGAUUCUAAGCUGGAACAUAUCUGGAGAUUAAGUUUUCACUAAUUCCUGCAACACAGAUCACUAAAUCCCAAGGAGAAUAUCACUAAAUUGUACUGAGAAUAUCACUAACUUGUAUUGGUUUCUAGUUUUUAUUUUAAUAUUGGUUUCUAUUUGAUCAUGAGCCUAUAUAUAUAUAGGGUGCUAAUCUUGUACAAACUGUUUUAUUGUACAAACUACAAACUAGGCCCAACCCGACAACUUAGCUCUCGGCCCAGUUAGCGUUCGGCCCACUUUCUGAUUACAACACGACUACGACUAGUCUGAAAAAACAAAAAAGAAAUUUAAAUACAGACAGAAGAAACCAUAGACAGGCAUAUAGACACAAAACAGUUACACUCAUCGCUCCUCUUACUGUUCAUCUCUCUCAAACACAAGGUAUAAUCACUGCUAAACUUGCUUCUAAUUUUCGAUUUCUCACCGUUUUUGCAAUUAUUACAUGUUUAACUCGUUCGUUUUGAACAUAUUUUGCAAAAACAGGGGAAAUCGCAGUGGAGAUCAGCCUCGUACUCAAUCGGAACGAUAUCAGCUUCAAAUUCUUCAAAUAGCAACUAGUUGUCUAUAUAACUCUGAAAGCAAAAAAUUAUGGCUAGGACUAGAGGAGGUAUGUUAUUUAGGGUUUUGUAAUUUUUUGUUUUUAUUUUGCUUAAUUUGUGCUGUUAUUACUGCUCUUAUUUAUGUAGAAAUUGUUUCCUCUUUGAUUUGCAUUAUAUAUGAUUUAUGAUUUGAUUUCGUGUUGAAUACUGAUUAGAGUUUAUAAUGUUUAUGAUUUAUGAUUACUGAUUAGAGUUUACGAUUAGAAAUGUUUAUGGUAUUUUGGACCAUAUAGAAUAUUGGAGUCUGGUUGAUACAUUAGAUUUGUGUACGUAUGUAUAAUUGUGUAGUUAGCUGCAUAUAUUGUACUCUAGUUAGCUGCAUACUCUGUAGUUAGCUAAAUAUAGUCAUAAAUAAAAAACAUGAUACAGGUGCAGCUAGAUAUAGUACUCUGUAUGUAUAAUUUGUGAUUGAUGUAUAAAAUAUUAAUGGUUGAUGCUUUAUAAAUUAGAGAUUAAUGCCUAAUAUAAUUGUGUUUGCAGAUGUAUGCUAAUAUAAAAUAUUAAUAUAAUUGUGUUUGCAGAUGCCUAAUAUAAAAUAUUAAUGGUUGAUGCUUUAUAAAUUAGAGAUUAAUGCCUAAUAUAACAUUAGACCUGUGUACAUGUGUAUAAUUGUGUUUGCAGAUGUAUGCUAAGAAAUAAAUGGUGGGGGAUUUGUUGUUCUGUGUUGUGCAUAAAAUCCUUCGUCUCUCUUGUGUGUAAAGUAUAUAUGAUUAGUGACUCUCUCAUGUCCACAUUGCAUAUAAUACUAUUGUUUAUCUUCUGGAAUUACAUAUUAUGGUACAUCUCUGUUCAUAUCUAGAUAGCAUUAAGUUGCAUCUAGCCACGUAUCCCUCUGGCCACGUAUCCAUAACGGGGUGGGACUGAUUUGUACCUUGUAGCGUGGCGAGGCAUGAGAGACAAAAGGGGUGUGUGUUGCCCCCUGCUGAAGUUGACUCUUAUCAUUAUACACAUAAGAUUGUUCUAAUUAUUACUACUAGGCAUUAUCCACACCUUAAUCUUCUGUCUUUCAAUGUAUGUUCACCAUCAUAAUCAGAUUUCAUCAAUUACUUAAUCAUGAUAUUAUUUGGUAGUUUUUUAUUUAUAAAUUACUAAUUAUAUGAUUAAUGCCUUAUAAAUUAGUGAUUACUAAUAUAUGCAUCGAUAUUUUUUAGAAACUAUCCACUCUUGCUUCAAGUUUUAUUAGUGAUUAACAUAUUUGAUGUUGGUAUUAUAUUCGUUUAUGGCUUUCUAGAAAAAAUAAUAUUACUAGUUCAAUAGCUAUGUACAUAUAUUCUUUACUUAACGCCUCUGCAAGAAAAAAAAUUCAGGACAUAGAGUGCAACUGCGAAGAAGUUCAAGACUACAACGUUGUAAGACAACCUUCAGCAAUACAAUAAACGAUCCAAUUAACCUUGAAGAAUCUCCAGUUGAUAGGACUAUGGAACAUGACGAGCACACCAGUACUCCGAACAAAUCUGAAGGAAGUGCACCAGAAAAAUUUAAGCGAUUACGGCACAAAGUGACAGCUGGAAAACUAUUUCACUCUGAUGUGAGGAUGAGCAAGAGUCAUAUUCAAUUCUAGAAUUAUAUAGGACUGAAUAUGAAGCUGGACAACUUGAAAAGCAAGCUGCACAACUUGAAAAUCAAGCUGACAAACUCAACCACAAGAUCAAGCAGCACAAACUCAACCACAUGAUCAAGCUCCACAAGAUCAAGAUACAGAACCACAAGAUCAAGCUGCACAAGAUCAAGAUACAGAACCACAAGAUCACAAUCAAGCUGAAGAUGAUCGAGAUCACAAUCAAGAUGAACAGGAAUCUCAAGAAGAAGCUCAAAAUGAACAUGAAUCUCAAAAUGAACAAAAAGCUGACAAUGUAAAAGUUAGGAAGUGGAAAAGAAAAAAGACUGAAGGGGUGGAUACACACAAUGCUCGUGAUCAUCCUGUAACAAAAAGGCCAAACAUUAAGCUGCC